rnacentral:rRNA from 1 species
CGACCCCAGGAUGGGCGGGAUGACCC